rnacentral:piRNA from 1 species
UGAGAGGACAAAAGGCAAAGAUACAUUGU